UUCAGAUGUUGUUAAGACAAGCAUUUUGAUGUCAACUCUUGUUAAGACAUUAUAUAUUACAGAUUUCUAUGUUGGCAUUGGUGUUUGUCAUUAAAUUUUAAUUUCAUUUCAUUGUACAUACCAACUACAUAGAUCAAUCCAUCUUAAAUAAUACAACAGAUAGAAACCAGAUGACAACAAUAAUGAUAACAGUGAUAUCAAUACUAAUGCUUGGUCUUUCAUGUCUUCCGUGCCUUCCAUAUCUUCCCAGUCCUUGUUGUCUUCGUUGCCUUCGAUGUCUAUCUUUAUAUUGUUCAUUUUCAUUGGCCCAUCGAAAGAAUCCACAACCAGUACCAACUUGAUAUUUUUGACAGCCCCAAAACAUUCUUCCCGGAUUGGUUGGUGUUCUUGACAUCUUAAGUUCCGCGUAAAGUUCACAAUAAUAAAUUCGAACUGUCAUGGUGUUGUAAAAAAUGACAUAAAAAAAUAACUUUCCAAUAUUACAAGCAUAGCAGAAAAAAAUAAAAUUAAAGAACAAGAACUUAGAGAGAGAAAAAAUGGAGAAGAAGGGAUGGAAAAAAACUCAAAUUGCUCCAACAAUGGCAUUGGAAGCAAAUGAGGAAGAAGGAACAUUUAUAAUGAGUGUUGGAACCUUUUUGACCAUUGGGCCCUUUAUUUUAUGGCUGACGCGCGGCUGGAGACUAAAACACAUGCUCCUAUGUGGUCCUAGCCACAUCAAAAAUUGUGUUUAAAAAGUUGAUUUUUAGUGGGUUCAGGAGUUCAGAUGACAAACAUGUAAGUAGAAGUGUCCAACUUAUAAAACCAACAUAGUACAGGGGUCCAAAAGAUCAUUUUGCCUUUUUUAUAUAAUGAAAGAAAGAAAAGUAAUGUUUGUAUAAUAAAUACAAAAUUAAAUGAAUAUGAAUAAAAUUUUCUCCCCUAUCUCAGCAUGAAAGUGCAGAUUAUCAUAAAUUUAUCACAGUAUUAAAAUCUCCACAAAUAAGUCCAGACUUAACAAUCUGCUAGGUUACUUCAUUCAGAUUUUCCCACAAUAAUUUCCUCACAACUAUCAGCAAAGAUCAAAUGAUCAUUUUUUUCUUUUGACUAGGCAAUUAAUAUUUGUGGAUCAGCCUUGAAUAAUGUUACAGUUAGCCAAUUCAUAUCCCAAAUUACCCAUAUUAUUCCAUUUUUAAAUAUCUCAAAAACUUAAUAAUUGUUGAAAGGUUUGACAAAAUGAGUCGACAUCAUCAAAACAUAUUAUCUUUUUUCAAAAGAAUCAAAUAAAAACUUCUCACCAAUAUUAAAAACAUGGUUUGCAUGCAUACUCAAUUUGGUGAACUCAAAAAAAUAAAACACCAAAGCUAUAUAAACAAAAUAUAAGUCAUAAUAUUUUUUGCUCUUUGGAGUUGCAAUAUCCGUAACCAUUUGGAUAAUAUGAUAUAUGAUCUGUAAAUUCAAUAAGUACCACAAUUGUUUGCAUUCUAAUAUUAAUCCAUUUAGCCGGAAUACAUAUACAGGCCCCUGAACUAUUUCACUUUUUUCGUAUAGGCACCUCAAUUAAGUCAGGUACCUAUUGAACCCUUUACUCAUUCACAAAUGGUUUCAAUUGAGCCCAAUUUGCUGAUGCGACAAAAAAUAUAAAAUGCGUGUAAUACACACGCUGAUGAUGUGACAAAGUGACGAAUUAAAUAACGAAACGUGUCAUUCUAAUUUAAAUAAUUAUAAAAUAAUUUUCUAAUAUAAUUAAAUCUAAUUUAAAAAAAAAAUAUAUCCCCCCCAGCUACCUACCCGAUCCUCCCUUUCUUCCCUUCAAAAUAAUAUUUUCUCCACUGUUGAACACACAAAAGCAAAAAAAAAUAAAAAAAUGAAGCACCUACCCUGCAGCUGCCUACCCAAUCUUCCUCCUCCCCCCUCUUCCCUUCCAAACACCCCCUUCUCCAUUGUUUAGCAUACAAAAGUAAAAAAAAUAAAAUUGAAUCUUCUUCUUCACUUAUCUCCUAAAAUUUUUUAAAAAGUUAGUUUUUUUCAUUGUGGUUUUCUGUGAAAAUGUGAAAUCUUUAUUCCCGACUGUUGUAUUUAUUCAUUCUUUGAUCCUUGAUGAAUAUCUCGCCUCUUGCUGAUGGAUUCCCAAGUUGACUAUUCUCGUUCUUAUAUUAUGUGAAUUUGAAACUGCUAAACUUGAAAUAGAUGGUGUGUUUUUUAAUUGCUCGUGGUACUGCUUUCAAGACUAGCAAAAUUAAAAUAUUCUUGACAAACUAUUGAAGUACAUUUGCUUGUUUUCUUAGUUUUUGUUCCAUUUGUAGUACUUAUGGCACCACAGAGGUGUUGCAGUAGUUUGAGCUGCAGGAAGUACAAAAUAUUUCAUGGAAGUAGAAUCAUGAUUGGUGAAACAUGUAGUAUUCCAUGUGACCUUGUCGUUUCUUUCUCUUCUGUUUGGUUUUGGUUCUUUUUUUGUGUCUAGGGGAAAUGGGAGUCGGGUUGACCCUUUGGGGUAGGAUCGAAAAUCAUAGAUAGCACAACUGAGUCAUGGAGUGUUUUGUAGGGGAAGAACAAAAUCUGUGUCCCUUCUGUUUAUUAGCGUAGUAUACAUGUGAGUUUUGAAUUUGAUGUUCCAACUUCAUAUUAUACACUAGGAAUUGAGAUCUGCUCUGAGAAUUGACAUCUGAGAAUUGAAUUUGAUGUUCCAACUUCAUAUUCUUUUUUGUUUGAUAGAUCCAUCGUAGAUAAUGGGAAUUCAUAUUUUGAGCAAGUAGACUGGUAGGAUUGUUGACAAUUCUAAGUCGAGUACAUUAGUGACACGAUAUGAAGCUUUAUGUUUUAAUUUUUCUCUAAAAGAGCUGGGAUGGAGUUAAAAAGAAUGGUUGUUGCAUUUGAAUUAGAUGUUGUAUAUGAUAUUUUUGGUGAGUUAUGGAGAAAAAGAUGAUGCUAUUUUUUGUAUGUAAAAAAAAUGGAAAAUGGUGAGUUAUGGAGAAGAAGAUGAUGUUUUUUUUUUCCUUUUUAUUUCUUUAAUAUAGCUUUUUUAAUUGGUUGGAUUUUUUAUGUUUAAUUUUUUUUUAUUAAUUAUGGUCUCUCACUCUCCUAAUAGAGAGUGUAUUACACAUGCCACGCCAUGUCAGUGCCACGUCAGCAAUUGUGCUCAAUUGAAACAUUUUGUAAAGGAAUAAAUGAUUCAAUAGGUACCUGACCUAAUUGAGGUGCCUAUACGGAAAAAGUCAAAUAGUUAAGAGGCAUGUAUAUGUAUUUAGCCGUCCAUUUAAAUCUAAAAGAAGACUCUACAUGGCAUUUAGGACUCGUUUGGUAGAGUGUAUAAGAUAAUACUGAAUAUGUUGUAUUAGUAAUACUGAGAUUAGUAGUGCAGGGAUUAGUAAUACUGGAAUUAGUAAUACUGAGAUUAUUUUUUAUGCAGCAUUUGGUUUGAUGUAUUAAAAGCAAUAUGUAUUGUUAUAUUUUAAAAAGAAUAUUGUUUGUUUACAAAAAUACCCUCGACAUAUUAUAAUUUUGUGUAUUUUUUUUGCAAAAGUUUACUAUUCUUUUUUUAAAAUAAAAAAAGUUAAUAAUAUAACUAAUUAUUUACUUUAGAAUUUAAUGAUUUAAUCAUUCACUAACAAAAGUUAUUUUCUUAUUAUCUUUUCUUUGUUUGUUCAUCAUUUGCUUGUUGUUCCCACUUUGUGUUGUUUUUAAGUUGGAGGGAGAUACGUAUAAUUUUUGGAUAAGACAAUAAAAUCAUUAUUAAAAUAAAAUUGUAGUAUAUAGAAUGUUAAAACUAAGUCAAAAAAUUAUUUUUAUUUAUGGAUAUCCUAUUUAUAAAAUUAAAGCUUGUAUGCAAUUUGUUUUCGAAUUUUGACCAAUAAAUAAUUUUUUGAGUUAAUGGAGUAUUUUUUGUUAUAACUAAAAUUAUUUGGAGGGAUAUUAUUAUUUUGAUAAAUUGAAAAGAAGUAACUCAUAUUGAAUAAAUUGAAAAAAAAAAUAGAAACAAAUUAAAGAAAUUUAAGGACAUUUUUGUAAAUAAUAAUAAAAUUUGUAAACUAAUUUAUUUGAAUAAAUUUAUUAGUACAAAUAUAAAAAAUAAAAUUAAGAAAAUAAAAAAUAUUUAAAAGAAUUUGAGGGAUAUUCUUGUCUUUAUACAUACAAAUUUCAUAGUAUUAAAACCCAUGUAUUACUAAUACCAUCAUAUGUGAUGUAUUAGUAAUACACCCUAUAAUACCAUGUAGGGUGUAUAACUAAUACAUGGUAUUAGUAAUACAUUGGUUCAAAAUCCUACAAACAUAAUAUUAAUUAAUACCACACUUAAUACAUGGACUAUUUCUCCUAACACGGCCUUCGUUUGGUAGAGUGUAUUGAAAAUCUUAAUGCAUGCAUUAGUUUAAUGUACAAGUAGUACCUUGUUUGGUUUACUUUUUUACCUAAUGUAUAACUAGUGCAAACAUUAGUUAUACACUUUAUUAUGUAUUGAGGUGUGCAUUACUAAUGUCACCAUUUUCUUAUAUGUUAGUAAUACAAAGGAGUUCAACACAUGUAUUAGCUUGGGUAAUGACAUAAGUACCCCUCAUUUUCCUUCAAAAUAUUUUUCAAUUCCACUGAUCGCACUAUUGCCUUGUUCCAAUUUUUAGAUUUAAACACAAAUUUUAUUUUUAGAUUUAAACAUAAGCUUAAUAUUUGGAAGCAUAAUUUGAUAGUGUUGAUAACUAGGAGAAUUUUUUAUUUUUUUGAAAAAAUGUUAUAAAAAGAAAAAAUUAGUUUUCGUCACCAAUGGUUCAAUUAAAAACUAAAAUUUCUCUUUAAUUUCCCUUUCUUCCUUCACCAGCCAAAAGAAAAUUCAAUUUCCCUUUCUUCCUUCACCAGCCUGUUUCCAACAUAAUUUAAUUCAUGAAAAAUAAAUUUUAACUAUAAAUAAAAAUAUGAAGAAACAACAAUUUUUAUUGAUAAACGAUAGGGGUACAAAUCUAUUCCUCCCUUGAUUCUUCUCUCAUGAUUUUCUCCAUAAUUCGAGGGCCGUUAGUGGCGUAUUUCUCGAACAUAGGAGUAUUUGGAUUUGAUCUCCAUAAAAUGAGGUUUUGUGAAUCUUCUUGAUGUAUUUGAUUAUUAAGAAGAAAGGGUUUUGAUCUAUAAAUAUCCUAUGAAUUUAUUGGGACUUUGAAGAUCGUUGAUUUCUUUGUGAAUAUCCCGUGAAUUUGUGGGAUACUGGAGAUGCAUCUUUAAAUGGAUAUUUGCCCCCUUUAUAUAGGCAUAAUUUAGGGUUUAGGUUGAGUAGCCAUCAAGCUAGAUUUAGGGUAAAGUAGCCCCAAGAACUCUAACCAAAGCUGAACUCUUUUUGUAGAGUCCACAAAAUUUUAAUGUCUACAAAUGUUCCCUACUUCAAGGCUUGUCGGAGUGUAGACUUAAUGAAACUCAAAGACGAGUCUUGAAGUACCGCUUCCAUCUUUACGAUCCUACAGCUAUAAAUUUGCAUAUUUGAUUUAUGAGAGAAGAGAUGAAGGACAGAUUUGGUCCUACUGGGCGUGCCAAUUUGUUUCCAACAUAAUUUAAUUCAUGAAAAAUAAAUUUCAACCACGAAUAAAAAUAUGAAGAAAUAAUAAUUUUUAUUGAUAAAUGAUAGGGGUACAAAUCUGUUCCUCCCUUGAUUCUUCUCCCGUGAUUUUCUCCAUAAUUCGAGGAUUGUCAGUGGCAUAUUUCUCGAACGUAGGAUUUGGUAUGAAUUUCUCCGUAAUUUGAGGGUCGUUAGUGGAGUAUUUUUCAAAUGUAGGAGUAUUUGAAUUUGAUCUCCAUAAAAUGAGGUUUUGUGGAUCUUCUUGAUGUAUUUGAUUAUCAAGAAGAAAGAGUUUUGAUCUAUAAAUAUCCUAUGAAUUUAUUGGGACUUUGAAGAUCGUUGAUCUCUUUGUGAAUAUCCCGUGAAUUUGUGGGAUACUGGAGAUGCCUCUUUAAAGGGAUAUUUGCCCCCUUCAUAUAGGCAUAAUUUAGGGUUUAGGUUGAGUAGCCAUCAAGCUAAAUUUAGGAUAGAGUAGCCCCAAGAACUCUAACCAAAACUGAACUCUUUUUGUAGAGUCCACAAAAUUUCAAUGUCUACACAGCCAAAAGAAAAAUUAAGGCAUAUUUCUUUUCUCCGACCACCACCAAACUACAAGGUGCUUCCUCGUCUCUUUUUCCUAUCAACUUCCAUAUAAAAUGAUUAAUUAUUUAAAUAUGAUGUAACCCAAAAGCUGAUUCUAGUUCGAGAAAAAUAUAAAGAUGGACGAAACACUUUUAUCAAUUUUCCUCGAGAAAUUUGAAGCAAUGCUAAUAGGAAACAACUAUUUACAUACAUUAGGGGGGGAAGGAAAGUAAGUUUUCAGUUAAAAAAACUACUUUGUUGCAAAAAUGCAAGGUUAAGGAAUGUGGAGGGUAUUUUUGUAAACAAAUAUUUUUUUACAAAAAAUUAUACGAGAUAUAUUUUUUUUAAUACAUCAAACCAAACAGUGUAUAAAAGUCUAAUGCAAGUAUAAUUAAAGUCAGCAUUACUAAUGCAAUUAUUACUAAUACGUCAUAUUCAGCAUUAUUCUUAUACACUCUACCAAACGACCCCUUAAUGUUUUUUGGGGUCAAAAGUUGAAUAGGUUUCAUUAAUCAAUACUUACACUAGAUAUUAAAUUACAGUACCUUAAGAAGGGUUCCACAGGGCACUAACGUUAUAAAAUGGGCCACAGGGCAAUCUUUGUUUCGGUGAUUCUUCUCCUAAACUAAUCCCAAAACUAGAAAUGAUUAAUUAGGACUUGAGAACUGAAUGUGGAGAAACAAAAAACAGCGAGGUGUUGCAUGUUUUGUAAUACUCUGAUAAGUUUUAUUGUAUUUGUUAUAAGUGAGUAAAUUAUUUUUUUUUUUUGUCGAAUAUUUAACUAAUUUCAUGAUUAAAAUUAACAAAAAUAUCAAAAGUCUCGUCAAAUUGAGAAAUGUCAUGACAAAAAUUAUACUAAUAUCAAAAUUAGGAAAAUUAUACAUUAAAAAAUUGCACCAAACACUAAAAAUAGAUCAACAGUAAUGGCGAACUUACAACUCCAAAUGUAGGUUUCCUUUUUUAAAAGAUCAAUUAAAUUUAGUCGCCUAAACUUAUUAUAUAUAAAUUUAAUGGAGAAUAAAAAAUACUACACACUUUUAGGGCCGUUUGGUUUGCGGUACUAAAGUUAAUAAUCCCAGGAUAAAAAUUUAAACCACUCGUUUGGUUGUAAGUAUUUGGGAUAACUUAUUCCGAGACUAAUAAUUAGUCCCGGGAUAAGUUAUCCACCCAAUUGGUGGGAUAACAAUCCCAAGACUAUUUUUCUUUGGUAUAAAAUUAUACAUUGACUAAAAUACCCUCAAAACCUAUGAUUUCAUUUCAAAAAUCUCUCUCUAUAUAUACUAGUAUUUUAAUUAUGAAUUUUAAUAAAAGUUAAAUACUUAAUAAUUUUGACAUAAAUUUUAUAUUUACAUUAAAAAUUUAUUAGUAAUAUAUAAUAAUUUAUCAAAAAUUUAAAUCUAAAAUUCAAAAUUCUUAUUACAUCAUUAUCUCCAAUUAUCCGCUUUCAUUAAUCCGCCUCACAUAAAAAUAUCAACACCAUUGUUGAAUUACAUAUUUUAAAUUAAAUAGUUUUUAAUCACUUGAAAAUUGAUAUGGUAUAUAUAAAAUAAAUUUUAAUAUAUUAUAUGAGUGAUAUGUGUUUAAAUGAAAUGAAAUAAACAAUAAAUCCUCUUUUAUUUUAAUAAACUUAAGUUGAAAGUUUUUAUUUCAAACUAAAUAAGAUGUAGUAAAAAAAAUUUUAAACACAUAUGGCAUAAUCAUGGAAAGGCACACGCAAAAAAAAAAAAAAAGCUAAAUAAGAUGAAAGUUUUAUUUUUAAAAUAUACAUGAUAUAAUGAUAAAUAUGCGCACACACAAAAAAAUGUAAGUUAAAUAAGAUGAAAGUUUUAUUUUUAAGAAUAAAUAUUUAAAGUUUGAAAAGAAAUUAUAUAAAAAAGAAUUAAAUAAGAUGGAGGGUAUUUUUGUAAUCACUUAAUUUGUUCUUAGAAUUUAUAUCAUGCAUAUUACUUUGAAUACAAUAAACCAAACACUCAAUAAAAAAUAAUCCCAACAUAACUAAUCCCAAUAUAACUUAUUCCAUCAUAAUUUAUCCCAUCAUAACUAAUUUCAUCCGAACUUAUUUUCAAACCAAAUCGCCUCUUAAUAAAUUGAAGGAAAAAGACAUCGUUUUCACCCCAAACUAUACCCGAAAAGUCGAAGUCACACCUAAACUAUACUAGUGACCUAUUACACACCUAAACUAUAAAAAAGUGAAACUAUUUACACCCUUUCAGGCUACCACCACUUGCAUGUGAUGUAGUGUUUUACACGCGCUGCCACGUCAGCACCACGUCAGUAAAAAGUAUAAUUUUUUUAUAGUUAAGGUGUGUAAUAGGUCACUUAUAUAGUUUAAGUGUGGAUUCGAUUUUUCGACUAUAUUUAGGGUGGAAACGAUGAAUUUUCCCUUAAUGAUUUUAACCGUUUACUUUUGUUAUUUAAUAGGCUGAACGCGCUUAUAAUAAGUGUAACAUACGCGCCUCAGAAUGAGAUUAUGGGGAGGUAAUAAUAUCACUUUUUUAUAAUUAAAAUAUGUAAUAGAUCACUAAUAUAAAUUAAGUGUGACUUACACUUUUCGGAUAUACUUUAGGAUGGAAACGAUUUCUUUUGCUGUAAAUUGAACUGAUGAAAACUAGUGAUAGGUAUAUUGGAGUUUGAUGAUAGCUAGGUGGCCAAGGGGGACCCACCAUGCUCUCUGCCUUUUCCAGUUACUGCCUGCUUUUCUUUCUUCUCUGUGUGCCUCAGUAUUCUUCAUUCUACCUCUAUUUCUGUGGGCUCAUUUGGUACGUACCAUGAAUAUGAAAAAUCCUUUUGGGAUAAAGUAUGAUAUUCUUUUUAUUUGGUAUUUAACAUAAAAGUCGUUUUAUCUCAUUAUUUAUGUUUAAAUGACAAAACUAUUAUGGACUUUCAAAAAUGGUCUAUAUUUCAGUAAAAUAAAAUUGUUCUUAAUUUAACUUUUAAAAUUAUAAUUUAUAAUUUUUUUCUCUUUUUUUUUUUAGUUCUUUUUCGUUUUCUAUUUUCCUUCUCUUUUUAUCUCUUGCCUCUAUUUCUCUUUUAUUUUUCCUUUUUCUUUCUCUUUUUUUUUUUUGUUGAAUUUUAUAUUUUUUAUACUUUUGAAAAAUAUGAUUACGCCGAGUACAAAUCAUAGAAUAUGACGAAUACAUCAUAAUCGCUCAUUGUAUUUGUAUCCACCAUCAAUUUUUUUUUUAUAUUUUUGUUCUAUUUUUUUUCCAUUUUUAUAAAAUAGAUAAUUUUGUUUUCCCCUUUUUUCAUUUUUAUUCUUUUUUUUUUUUUUUUUUUUUUUUUUUUUUUUUUUUUUUUUUCGUUUUUUCUCUUUUCUAUCUCUAGCUUCUAUUUCUUAUUUCUUUUUCUUGAUUUUUUUUUACUUAUUUCUUUAUUAUUUUUUAUUUUAUUUUAUAUUUUUUGUAUUUUAAAAAAAUAUGAAUACUCAAACACAAGUCAUGGAUGAUAACAUAAAUAUCAUAGUUGCUUAUGGUAUUUGUAUUUACCAUUAUUUAUAUUUAUGUAUUCAUUGAUAUAAUUAUAUUUGUAUUUGUAUUUUAAAGUUCGUGUUUGUAUUUAUAUUUUAUACUUCGCAUUUGUAUUUCUUAUAUUUUGUAUUUCUAUUUGUAAGUUGACAACAUAUUGUAUUCGUAAUUUCAUUUGUUUUUAUUUGAAUUUGUAGUUGGCUACAUCAUUUGUGUUUUUAAACAAUCGAAAAAGAAUUGUUAUUUUUCUUUCUAUGAACACUUGUAUUUAUAUUCAUUGAUAUAAUUUGUAUUUUAUUAAUGCAAAUUGAACAAUAAAAAUAAAAAUGAUAAAUUGUACAAAUACAAAAUCACAUUUGUAUCAAAUGAUAUAUGUUUAUAUAGCUUUAACCAUAUGCAUACAAAUUAUAUGCAAAUAUAAAUGAAAAAUUUUAAAUACAAAUACCAAAAAUUUAUUUGCAUUGAAGGACACAUUAUAAAUAUAUAGUUUAGUCUCAAGCAAAUGCAAUUAAUCAAUACACUUAUUCGUAUACAAAUACAAAUGCUAAAUUGUAUAUAUUCACGACUAAACUAUUCAACUACAAAUAAUAAUUUUAUUUAAAAUAUUUAAUAUAAUACAAAUAAAUAUAAACUAUAAAAAAUAUAACAACAACAACAACAACAAUAAAAAAAAAUGAGAGAAAAAUAUGAAAAGAAGGAGAAAAAAUACCCACAAAACGAAAAAGAAUAUAAAAAAAAGUUGUAAAAAAAAUGAAAAAAAAUAUAUAAAAAAAAGGGAGAAAAGAAGAAAAGGAAAAAACCAAAAAAGAAAAAAAUAGAAAAAAGCGAAAAGAAGAAAAUGGAAAAACAAAAAAGAAAGAGAAAAUGAAAGAAAAAAGAAAAAAAGAAAAGAAAAACUGAAAAAGAAAAAAAAAAGUAAAAAGGUAAAUAAAAGAUAGAGAAAGAGAGACAGUAAAUUAUAUUUAAUUGAUAAAAAUAAUUAAUAAAAAUUUAAACUAAAUUAAAUAAUUAAUAAUUUAUAUUUGCUAAGUCAUAUAAUUAUCUCAAUUAUUUAUUACUUCGUAUAAAAAUAACAUAAAAUAUUCUUACUUAUCUAAGUAUCAAACUACCCCUGUUGAUUUCUACUGACUUUCUCGUUCACUUCAAUUCCAUUAUCAUCUUUCUUAUGUGUUUGGCUAAAAUUACCUAUGAGUGAUGUUUGACAAAAUAUACUUCAUCCAUUCUAAUUUAUAUUACGCAUUUUCUUUUGUUAUUUAUCUUUAAAAAUAACAUGUUUUUAUAUUUAAUACUUUUUACUUUAUAUUGACUAAAUUUUCGAUGUAAUGCAUAUCUAUUAGGAAAAAAACAAUUAAAACAUAAAUUAGACAUCAUUUUUUAUUUUUGUCAUUUAGUUCUUCUCAAAUUAAUCUUGAUAAUAAAGAUAGACAUUACUCAAAUAGAUCGCAAAAUAAUAAAUAUGAGCAAUAACUCUCUUAAAUUUAUUACCUAAAAAUGUAAAUAAAUGGCAAGGAUUUUAAAAAAAUAAUUCAACCACUAUCUUAAACACUGAACAAUUAACUUAUUUUAAAUAUUAAAAAAAAAAAACUCAAAAAAUCAACUAUUAUUAUGGAGUCUUUUAUUUAUGACAAAAUGUAAUAUUUUCAAUCUGAACUAUAAAUAAAAUUGCUGAGACAAACUCCAACUUAAAAGGGGUCCUAUUACCUUCCUGAACUAAUUAAAAUCGUAUUUUUGUCGAUCUUAAGAUCUACGUGGCACAUACGUGGCACACUGCGUGAAUCAACAUACUGAAGGUCCACGUAGGCAUACGUAUGCACCACGUUGGCACUUAAGAUUAUAAAAAAUACGAUUUUAAUUAGUGGAGGGGAGUAAUAGGAUCCCUUUAAGUUGGAAUGUGUCUCGUCAAAUUUCAUUUGUAGUUCAUGAUGAAAACAAUGCAUUUACUUUAGAUUUAUUCAAUAUCUUCUUAUUUUUCUCUUUUCCUUUUGCUUUUUCUCUCUAUGUUCUUUUUCUUUUAUAUUUUAUUUAUUAAGGGUGUGUUUGGUAUAAUGAAAAAUAUUUUCUGAAAAUUAUUUUUCUAUUUUUUCUUGUUUGGUUGUAAUAUAACUUUGGGAAAAUAUUUUUCAAAGAAACUCAUUUCCCUCCAUUUAAAAGAAAAUGACUUCUCUCGUGGGCUAAGGGAAGUCAAUUUUUAGAAAAUAUUGAGAUGUGACUUAUGAAAACUUGGAAUCAAAAUAAACCAAAAUAUGAAUAAAGUGACCAAAAUAGGUCAACUAUUUAAUAAGUUACCAAAAUAAGCUAAAUAUAAUAAUUUAUUACGUUUUAUAUCUUUUAUUAAUGGUUCGAUAGCGGAUAUGUACAGUAAAAUUUUUUUAGUAAAACGCAGCAAUAAUUUAUUACAUUUUACAAAUUUUUUUUAAAAACGUAAUAAUUUAUUAUGUUUUACAAAUUUUUUUGUAAAACAUAAUAAUUUAUUAUGUUUACAUAAUUUGACAUAAAGAAAUGAUGUAAUAGUACACUGAGUUUUUUUUUUAAAAAUUCUAAAGUAAAACUUUAUAACUUUUUAAACUUUUAUAAAUUAAAACUUUUUAUUACAAUUUAUAAAUUAUAACUUUUUAUUACGUUUCUUACCAAUUUUUUUUUUAAAGUUAUUGCUUCGUUUUGUCAAAUCAAGUACCACCUAACUUACUCCCUUUUGACUUUUUCUUUCAUAACUCGUAUUAAAAAGUUACUUUUUAAUAAAUAAAAAAUAAAAAUACAUAAUUAUAAAUUUAUUUUAUUAAUACGUAAUAAAAAAUUACAUUAUUUUUUAAAUUUGGCCAGAUGAAUGUAUAAUUGUUGUUGUCACAUCUCAUACAAAUUGACCGAACGAUUAAAAAUGUGUAGUUAAAUAUUAUGUUUUAGAAAAUAUAUUAUAUUUUUUAUUAGAGGGUCACACGCUCAUAUAAAGUUAAAAUUUAGAUAAAAAAAAUAUAUUUUUUAUUCACCAACUAAACAUCAUAAAAUAUUUUUUGAAAAAUAUUUUUCACUCCACAACCAAAGAUAAGGAAACAAAUAAAACACCAAUUUAUUUUCUAUGAAAACAUUUUUCAUGAAAAAUUCCAUCAUACCAAACAUACCCUAAGUGUAGUGUUUGAUUAUUAUUAGGUUCAAUGUUCCUUUGUUUUCUCACUCUAGUCGAGUACCAGAAUCUUCCAAGGAAAGAAAAGAAAGCAUUACCAAUUUUCAGGAGUAUGGCAUGUUUUUCUUCUGAAAUUAUAUAUGGUUAUACUUUUUUUGUUUCUUAACUACUGAAUUUCCUUUAAAGUAUUUUAAAAUAUAGUAUUAUCUUAUUACUCUUAUAUAUAUAAAUGAAGAGUUUUGGUAAUACUAUUUUAUCUUUUAAUGUCUACUUAUUAUUAUUCAUUUUUUUACUAUUACUAUUAUUAUUAUUAUUAUUAUUAUUAUUAUUAUUUUUACUAUUACUAUUACUACUAUUAUUAUUAUUAUUUUCCCUACUAAUAUAUAAGUCAAAGUUUGAUAAUACUACUAAUUUAUCUUUUAGUAGUAUCAAAUCUUUACUUUAUUAGUAGUAGAAUAUUACUAUUACUACUAUUCUAUUUAUUUUUAUACUAUUCUAUUUAUUAUUAUUAUAUUAUUUUACUCUUAUAUAUAAAUGAAGAGUUUUGGUACUAUUAUUUUAUCUUUUAGUGUCUACUUAUUAUUAUUCAUUUUUUUUACUAUUACUAUUACUAUUAUUAUUAUUAUAUUUUUACUAUUGCUAUUACUAUUAUUAUUAUUUUUUUCCCUACUAAUAUUUCUAUUAUAUAAAAAUGUCAUCAUUGGGACGACCAAGGGUAUGUCCGUAAAAAUGCGAACUUUCAAGGGUAAAAUGAUAAGUUUCUUUUUAAAAUCAAACCACGGCUUUUCUUACCCUUCUAGAUAUUUCUCUUUCUCUCUCCAAUCAGCACACAAUCAUACAAUUCUACUUCCUCAAGCUCUCAAACAUCAAAUUUAGAUCCAAAUAACAACAAGAACACUAACUUCUGAGGCAUGAUGCUUGGUGGUUCACUAUUUUUUCCGUUGUUUCUCUAUCUUUAAGCGGUGAUCGAUAAAAGAAUUCAAAUGACGGUACAGAUUUUAGCUUCGGAUAUGGCUACCAUUGGGUAUAUUACUUGAAUAGGUUUGACAAAGAGGAAAGCUUGCUAAGUGAACUAUUUUAGAGGCAUAUUUUUAAUAACACCCUUAUAGAUCUUAUCCGUGUUGGCUAAAUUCACCAGUGCUUGAAACCAACCAUUUUUUAUUCUUUCUUAUGGCAUUCUUCCGUGGGCCAACAUCUGUUGAUUCUCAUAAUUGAUAAGCUGUUCUUGCCAUUAUCAUGUGAGAUUUAGACCAUUGACAAAUCCUUUCAUACCUUGAAAUGGUAAGACAUAUAGUUGGAUCUUGCUAAUCAUUUAGAUGGAAAUCAAUCCCUGACUAAUUCAAAUGAACAAAAUAUAGUAUAAUACCUUGUUAGUGUAGCUGGUUGCAAUUUGUUCUCGGAACAUCUUUGGAUUGAUCUUUCUAGAUGCAUUUGGGAAUCAGGACUUCUUUUUGGUACUUUUCUUGGACACUAUACAUGAAAGGAAGUCAUUUUCAUUGGUGGAAUGAUAUUUAUGGAACCAUCACAUGAUCCUUCUCCAACUGUACUUUACCCUCUGAUAAGUAAUAAAGACACCACAAACCUACUGUAUGGUUGGCAUGUAUCCUUAAAGGAACUCCUAUGUGCGAACUUAAAGUACUCACAUAUGUUCCAUAAAUAAUAAAAAAGUAAAAUUAAUUUUGACCAUACAUUUAAUUGCAUAAAAUAAUUAUUACUAUAGUAUAGUAAAAAUAAUUAAAAAAAAUACUCAUAAUUAAUGAAUAGACGUGUAUCUAUUAUAUUAUACAUAAUAAGCG
rnacentral:lncRNA from 1 species